rnacentral:rRNA from 1 species
UACGAGUGCCUCAAGCGUUAUCCGGAAUCAUUGGGCGUAAAGGUUGUGUAGGUGGUUGUAUUAGUCUCUUGUUAAAUUCUUCGGCUUAACCGGGGGCAUGCAAGGGAAACGGUAUAACUUGAGGAUGCGAGGGGUCUGCGGAACUCAUAGUGUAGCGGUAAAAUGCGUUGAUAUUAUGGGGAACACCGAAAGCGAAGGCAGCAGACUGGAGCACUCCUGACACUGAAACAAGAAAGCGUGGGUCGCGAAUGGG